rnacentral:rRNA from 1 species
CACGUAGGGGGCAAGCGUUGUCCGGAUUUAUUGGGCGUAAAGAGCUCGUAGGCUGUUCGAUAAGUCGGGUGUGAAACCUCCAGGCUCAACCUGGAGACGCCACCCGAUACUGUCAUGACUAGAGUCCGGUAGGGGAGCGUGGAAUUCCUGGUGUAGCGGUGAAAUGCGCAGAUAUCAGGAGGAACACCAAUGGCGAAGGCAGCACUCUGGGACGUGACUGACGCUGAGACGCGAAAGCGUGGGGAGCGAACAGG